GAUUGAACGCUGGCGGCAUGCCUUCCCCCUGCAAGUCGAACGGCAGCACGGGUGCUUGCCCCUGGUGGCGAGUGGCGAACGGGUGAGUAAUACAUCGGAACAUGUCCUGUAGUGGGGGAUAGCCCGGCGAAAGCCGGAUUAAUACCGCAUACGAUCUACGGAUGAAAGCGGGGGACCUUCGGGCCUCGCGCUAUAGGGUUGGCCGAUGGCUGAUUAGCUAGUUGGUGGGGUAAAGGCCUACCAAGGCGACGAUCAGUAGCUGGUCUGAGAGGACGACCAGCCACACUGGGACUGAGACACGGCCCAGACUCCUACGGGAGGCAGCAGUGGGGAAUUUUGGACAAUGGGCGAAAGCCUGAUCCAGCAAUGCCGCGUGUGUGAAGAAGGCCUUCGGGUUGUAAAGCACUUUUGUCCGGAAAGAAAUCCUUGGCCCUAAUACGGUCGGGGGAUGACGGUACCGGAAGAAUAAGCACCGGCUAACUACGUG
rnacentral:rRNA from 1 species